UAGGGAAUCUUCGGCAAUGGACGAAAGUCUGACCGAGCAACGCCGCGUGAGUGAAGAAGGUUUUCGGAUCGUAAAACUCUGUUGUUAGAGAAGAACGUUGUGUAGAGUGGAAAAUUACACAAGUGACGGUAUCUAACCAGAAAGGGACGGCUAACUACGUGCCAGCAGCCGCGGUAAUACGUAGGUCCCGAGCGUUGUCCGGAUUUAUUGGGCGUAAAGCGAGCGCAGGUGGUUUAAUAAGUCUGAUGUAAAAGGCAGUGGCUCAACCAUUGUGUGCAUUGGAAACUGUUAGACUUGAGUGCAGUAGAGGAGAGUGGAAUUCCAUGUGUAGCGGUGAAAUGCGUAGAUAUAUGGAGGAACACCGGCGGCGAAAGCGGCUCUCUGGACUGUAACUGACACUGAGGCUCGAAAGCGUGGGUAGCAAACAGGAUUAGAUACCCUGGUAGUCCACGCCGUAAACGAUGAGUGCUAGUUGUUUGGGGCUAUCCAGCCCUAAGUGACGCAGCAAACGCAUUAAGCACUCCGCCUGGGGAGUACGACCGCAAGGUUGAAAC
rnacentral:rRNA from 1 species